rnacentral:rRNA from 2 species
GGUUAAGCGACUAAGCGUACACGGUGGAUGCCCUGGCAGUCAGAGGCGAUGAAGGACGUGCUAAUCUGCGAAAAGCGUCGGUAAGGUGAUAUGAACCGUUAUAGCCGGCGAUGUCCGAAUGGGGAAACCCAGUGCAAUUCGUUGCACUAUCGUUAACUGAAUACAUAGGUUAACGAGGCGAACCGGGGGAACUGAAACAUCUAAGUACCCCGAGGAAAAGAAAUCAACCGAGAUUCCCCCAGUAGCGGCGAGCGAACGGGGAGCAGCCCAGAGUCUGAAUCAGCUUGUGUGUUAGUGGAACGGUCUGGAAAGUCCGACGGUACAGGGUGAUAGUCCCGUACACCAAAAUGCACAGGCUGUGAACUCGAAGAGUAGGGCGGGACACGUGGUAUCCUGUCUGAAUAUGGGGGGACCAUCCUCCAAGGCUAAAUACUCCUGACUGACCGAUAGUGAACCAGUACCGUGAGGGAAAGGCGAAAAGAACCCCGGCGAGGGGAGUGAAAAAGAACCUGAAACCGUGUACGUACAAGCAGUGGGAGCACCUUCGGGUGUGACUGCGUACCUUUUGUAUAAUGGGUCAGCGACUUAUAUUCUGUAGCAAGGUUAACCGUAUAGGGGAGCCGCAGGGAAACCGAGUCUUAACUGGGCGUUAAGUUGCAGGGUAUAGACCCGAAACCCGGUGAUCUAGCCAUGGGCAGGUUGAAGGUUGGGUAACACUAACUGGAGGACCGAACCGACUAAUGUUGAAAAAUUAGCGGAUGACUUGUGGCUGGGGGUGAAAGGCCAAUCAAACCGGGAGAUAGCUGGUUCUCCCCGAAAGCUAUUUAGGUAGCGCCUCGUGAA